rnacentral:rRNA from 1 species
UAAAAACCCCGACUUCGGAAGGGGUGUAUUUAUUAGAUACAAAACCAAUGCCCUUCGGGGCUCUUUGGUGAUUCAUGAUAACUAUACGAAUCGCACGGCCUUGCGCCGGCGAUGGUUCAUUCAAAUUUCUUCCCUAUCAACUUUCGAUGUUUGGGUAUUGGCCAAACAUGGUUGCAACGGGUAACGGAGGGUUAGGGCUCGACCCCGGAGAAGGAGCCUGAGAAACGGCUACUACAUCCAAGGAAGGCAGCAGGCGCGCAAAUUACCCAAUCCCGACUCGGGGAGGUAGUGACAAUAAAUACUGAUACAGGGCCCUUUCGGGCCUUGUAAUUGGAAUGAGUACAAUUUAAAUCCCUUAACGAGGAACAAUUGGAGGGCAAGUCUGGUGCCAGCAGCCGCGGUAAUUCCAGCUCCAAUAGCGUAUAUUAAAGUUGUUGUGGUUAAAAAGCUCGUAGUUGAACCUUGGGCCUGGCUGGCCGGUCCGCCUCACCGCGUGCACUGGUCCGGCCGGGCCUUUCCCUCUGUGGAACCCCAUACCCUUCACUGGGCGUGGCGGGAAACAGGACAUUUACUUUG